UGGGGAAUCUUGGACAAUGGGCGAAAGCCUGAUCCAGCCAUGCCGCGUGAGUGACGAAGGUCUUCGGAUUGUAAAGCUCUUUUGGCGGGGACGAUAAUGACGGUACCCGCAGAAUAAGCCCCGGCUAACUUCGUGCCAGCAGCCGCGGUAAUACGAAGGGGGCUAGCGUUGUUCGGAAUUACUGGGCGUAAAGCGCGCGUAGGCGGAUUUGUAAGUCAGGGGUGAAAUCCCGGGGCUCAACCUCGGAACUGCCCUUGAUACUGCAAAUCUCGAGUCCGAUAGAGGUGAGUGGAAUUCCUAGUGUAGAGGUGAAAUUCGUAGAUAUUAGGAAGAACACCAGUGGCGAAGGCGGCUCACUGGCCCGAUACUGACGCUGAGGUGCGAAAGCGUGGGGAGCAAACAGGAUUAGAUACCCGAGUAGUCCCUGAGCGGGCUGGCAAGGCGCAU
rnacentral:rRNA from 1 species